GGAUUGGGAUAUAUCGGUCAUGCCUUUAGGGGCAUGAAUCGGUGUGUAGCCAAUUUCUCACCUUCUGGUGAAUUGGGAUGCUCUUGGGUGUUUCAAUGAACUAGGACUUUUACUUUGAAAAAAUAUAGUGUUUAAAGCGGGCAUUUUUGCUUGAAUACAUUAGCAUGGAAUAAUAAAAUAGGACGAUGGUUCUAUUUUGUUGGUUUUAGGACCACGUAAUGAUUA
rnacentral:rRNA from 1 species